UCCGUCAAGGAGGAGCCCUACAACCUCUCCGUCCUCGAGGUCUCCGACCCCAUCACCUUCCCCGGCCUCUUCACCUCCCCCUCCGCCGCCUCCACCAACCUCACCGCGCUCCUCGACAAGGCCGGCUGCAAGCGCUUCGCGCGCCUCAUCGUCUCGUCCGGGGUCGUCAAGACGUACCAGGCGGCCAUGGACAAGGGGCUCACCCUCUUCGCGCCCACCGACGACGCCUUCCAGGCCAAGGGCCUGCCGGAUCUGGGCAAGCUCACCGGCGCCGACCUCGUGGCGCUGCUGGAGUACCACGCGCUGCCGCAGUACGCGCCCAAGGCGUCGCUCAAGACCAUGAAGGGCGGCAUCCCGACCCUGGCCUCCACCGGCAAGGGCAAGUACGACCUCUCCGUGGUCGCCAAGGGCGACGACGUGUCCAUGGACACCGGCAUGGACAAGUCCCGCGUCGCGUCCACGGUGCUCGACGACACCCCGGUGACCGUGCACACGGUGGACAGCGUGCUGCUGCCGCCGGAGCUCUUCGGCGGCGCGCCGUCGCCGGCACCCGGAGCGUCGGCCGAUGCGCCAGCGUCGGCCCCUGCACCAGAAGCCUCCUCCGCGCCGGCGCCCUCGCCUAACCACGACAAGACGAAACCGAAACACAAGUCGCCAGCGCAUUCCCCGCCCGCGCCGCCGGCUGAUACGCCUGACACGGCCCCCGCCGAGUCGCCGGAGGGAGACGAGGAGGCGGACAAGGCCGACGACAAGAACGGCGCGACCGCGGUGAGCAUGGGCAUCGCGGCCAUGGUGGCCUCGGUCGCUCUGGUCGGCGCGACACUCCUCUGAUCUGCCCCAAGUGUUCGACAUCGAGCACUCGUUCUGUUUUCCUCAUGAUGUGAUGCACUCCGGUCGUGGUUGCGAGUUCGUCGGCCAUUGAAAUGCUCACACCCGAAGCUGUUACUUCUUCCUGGUUGGAUCAUUUGGGCGAUUGUGAUACCUUCCCUGGUACUGGUAGUUUCAGUAGCUGCGUAGUUACAAGUCUAUUGAGUUUGAUUUUGCUAUGAUGCUCGUUGCAGUUGUUGAUGCAUUGCAUUCCAUCUGCCAAGAACUCCAAUUCCAUAUCCUGACGCAGUUAUCUAGCAUUCUCGAUGAAGUAACUUGUGAAGAGAGACUUGAUCUUACUACGAGUUAAUUGAUGCAUUGGUUCGUUGUAUAUUAUCACCGUUUUUGCACAUUAAUUGAUGGAGUAGUACUGCACAUUGCACCA
rnacentral:lncRNA from 1 species